UCAGGUUUAUUGGACGGAUAUCCGACAACUCGCUUAAAAAGAUCCAAAUAUUUGAAAGAAUUAAAACCCAUAGACCCAAGUGCCUAGCCCAUAACUUAUCAACCCAGGUGGCAUGUCAGCCCAAGUCCAGAUUGCAAGCUGCAAUCUGCCAGCCGGCCCAGCCUACUUUCAAUUUCAAAUUCACUGUUCAUCACUUCAUCUAUCAUUCCUUAGUUUAGGGUUUCACACUUUCGCACAGCCGUCACAGCGCCUGCCUCAACCCUCAGCCAGUCUCGGCCCUUCUCCACAGCCCUUGUGCCAUCGCACGCGCAGCGGUUAGCACCUCUCGCCCUCCCUCCUCACAACUCACAGCCUAAUCUGCAGCUAGCACUGCACCACCACCACCACCACCACCUCACGCUCUCUCUCUGACGCGUAAUUGUGUACACCCCCCGCUGCACUCCUGUGUGAGACGUCGUGUGCGUGACCACCACUGCUGCUGCUGCUGCUGCUUCUUCUUGAACAUGACGACCAAGUACAUACUACCAGCUGUUGCGGGAUCUAUUGCAAUUGCAUUUGCUUGUGACUAUUUUAUUGCUGACAGGAAGAUAUUUGGAGGCAAGAUGCUGUCAUUUGCUCGUACCUUUUUUUUUCUUCUUUUCCUCAGCAACGGUGGCAGUUCAAUCUCACUUCUUUUCUGGAAACAGGUACUACCCCAGGCACUGUUUCGAAUAAGGAAUGGUUUGAAGAAACCGACAAGAAGUUCCAGGCGUGGCCUCGUACUGCAGGUCCCCCGGUGGCCAUGAACCCCAUCAGUCGCCAGAAUUUCAUUGUCAAGUCUCGCACUGAAUCUUGAAGAUCCACUUUUACUCGUUCUUUCUCAUUCAGUUUCUUUCCAUUGGCUAAUGGUGCUUUAAAUAAAACUGUACACUUUUUUGUUCACAUGGGAUUUGUUGAUAUUGCUGAUUUUUUUUUUGUAAUAUCUGGAUAUGAGCAAGGCUGUUAUUUGAGAAUUUGAAGUUACUUUUCAGUGUUUCAAUUUUAGCCCCAGAACCUUUUUUCUCUUCAAAUAAAAAUGUGAGCAUUGUUUAUCUUGAAA